rnacentral:rRNA from 1 species
GAUGAACGCUGGCGGCGUGCCUAAUACAUGCAAGUCGAGCGAAUGGAUUAAGAGCUUGCUCUUAUGAAGUUAGCGGCGGACGGGUGAGUAACACGUGGGUAACCUGCCCAUAAGACUGGGAUAACUCCGGGAAACCGGGGCUAAUACCGGAUAACAUUUUGAACCGCAUGGUUCGAAAUUGAAAGGCGGCUUCGGCUGUCACUUAUGGAUGGACCCGGGUCGCAUUAGCUAGGUGGUGAGGUAACGGCUCACCAAGGCAACGAUGCGGAGCCGGCCUGAGAGGGUGAUCGGCCACACUGGGACUGAGACACGGCCCAGACUCCUACGGGAGGCAGCAGUAGGGAAUCUUCCGCAAUGGACGAGAGUCUGACGGAGCAACGCCGCGUGAGUGAUGAAGGCUUUCGGGUCGUAAAACUCUGUUGUUAGGGAAGAACAAGUGCUAGUUGAAUAAGCUGGCACCUUGACGGUACCUAACCAGAAAGCCACGGCUAACUACGUGCCAGCCGCCGCCGUAA